CUCUGGGUGGUGAAACGGUUACACUCCAGACUCCUAACCUGAAGGUUGAUGGUUCAAACCCACCCAGAGG
rnacentral:tRNA from 1 species